ACGGGAGGCAGCAGUGGGGAAUAUUGGGCAAUGGGCGAAAGCCUGACCCAGCAACGCCGCGUGAAGGAAGAAGGCCUUCGGGUUGUAAACUUCUUUUACCAGGGACGAAGGACGUGACGGUACCUGGAGAAAAAGCAACGGCUAACUACGUGCCAGCAGCCGCGGUAAUACGUAUGGUGCAAGCGUUAUCCGGAUUUACUGGGUGUAAAGGGAGCGCAGACGGCAUGGCAAGCCAGAUGUGAAAGGCAGGGGCUCAACUCCUGGACUGCAUUUGGAACUGUCAAGCUAGAGUAUCGGAGAGGUAAGUGGAAUUCCUAGUGUAGCGGUGAAAUGCGUAGAUAUUAGGAGGAACACCAGUGGCGAAGGCGGCUUACUGGACGAUAACUGACGUUGAGGCUCGAAAGCGUGGGGAGCAAACAGGAUUAGAUACCCUGGUA
rnacentral:rRNA from 1 species